GAGGGGGCCAAGCAGACUGCAACUGUACCUUACAGCUCUUCCCUCUCUCUAACUCCCAUGAGACGUGUGGCCGUCAGAGCCUUGCCACGGCUUACCGUGGCAAAGCUCCGUGCGGCACACACGUCACGCUCGUGGGAGUUAGAGAGACGGAAGAGGUGUAAGGUACAGCUGCAGUCUGCUGCCCCCCC